CACGCCGUAAACGAUGAGAACUAGAUGUCGGGAGGGUUCACCUCUCGGUGUCGCAGCUAACGCGUUAAGUUCUCCGCCUGGGGAGUACGACCGCAAGGUUGAAACUCAAAGGAAUUGACGGGGACCCGCACAAGCGGUGGAGCAUGUGGUUUAAUUCGAUGCAACGCGAAGAACCUUACCUGCCCUUGACAUACAGCGAACUUUCCAGAGAUGGAUUGGUGCCUUCGGGAAUGCUGAUACAGGUGCUGCAUGGCUGUCGUCAGCUCGUGUCGUGAGAUGUUGGGUUAAGUCCCGCAACGAGCGCAACCCUUGUCCUUAGUUGCCAGCACAUAAUGGUGGGAACUCUAAGGAGACUGCCCUGAUCAACUGGGAGGAAGGUGGGGAUGACGUCAGGUCAGUAUGGCCCUUACGUCUGGGGCCGCACACGUACUACAAUGCCCAGUACAAUGAGAACCGAGACCGCGAGGUGGAGGAAAUCUACAAAACUGGGCUCAGUUCGGAUUGGAGGCUGCAACUCGCCUCCAUGAAGUUGGAAUCGCUAGUAAUGGCACAUCAGCUACGGUGCCGUGAAUACGUUCCCGGGUCUUGUACACACCGCCCGUCACAUCAUGGAAGCCGAUCGCACCCGAAGUGUCUGCGCCAACAU
rnacentral:rRNA from 1 species